GACGGAGGAUGCAAGCGUUAUCCGGAAUGAUUGGGCGUAAAGCGUCCGCAGGUGGCAGUUCAAGUCUGCUGUCAAAGACCGGGGCUUAACUUCGGAAAGGCAGUGGAAACUGAACAGCUAGAGUAUGGUAGGGGCAGAGGGAAUUCCUGGUGUAGCGGUGAAAUGCGUAGAGAUCAGGAAGAACAUCGGUGGCGAAGGCGGGUCUCUGGGCCGAAACUGACGCUGAGGAGCGAAAGCGUGGGGAGCAAACAGG
rnacentral:rRNA from 1 species